rnacentral:lncRNA from 1 species
UUUCAUUUUAAACGGAUCAACCCAAUUUCAAUUUAACUGACCCUUGACCCAACUAAAACCUAUCUGACCCAGACCCCCAUCUUAUCCUGGUCGUUGAUCUCUGAGAUCAAAGGCUCAUAUCCAGUCUUGCCCUUUUUAAUCCAAACAACUAUCCUAAUCCCCACAUUUUCUUAUCUAUCAGCCGCCUUUAAAACUCUCUCGAAUGUUCUCAAAACCCUAAUCGCC